CACUAUUUCCCUACAUGACGCUCUCAGCUCCUCAAUCUCUGCUUGCAUCAGGCUAUUCCUGCGGUCCACCAUGGCCACCUGCUCCUUCAUGUCCUC